UUUAUCGAAGUGGUAUCCCAACGAUGAGAAUAGCUUAGAACGACGAACGCUCACGCUUGUGACAUUGUUGGCUUUAGUUACGGGGCACCGUAUGCAAACUCUGUCGUUAAUUGAUACGCGGAAUAUUUAUAGAUCAAGUCAGAAUACGUUGAAAAUUAAAAUUCCCGAUACCAUUAAGACUUCGGGCCCGGGGAAAAAACAGUCAGUACUAAGACUGCCGUUCUAUUUACAAGAUAAGUCCGUAUGCGCAGCUUCAACGUUGUUGUCCUAUUUAGACAGAACCAAAGAACUACGUAGGUCGGUAGUUAAGUUAUUUAUAUCAUUUAAGAAACCACACAAAGUGGUGGGCACUCAAACUCUAAGCAGGUGGAUAAAGAGCGUUUUGGCUAAAAGUGGCAUAAAUGUUAACACGUUUUUGGCUUAUAGUACGCGACACGCUGCUACAUCAGCGCCAAAAAAACAAGGUGUGAACAUUGAUGUAAUACGGAAAACGGCAGGUUGGUCGAAAGAUUCCGAAACUUUCGCUCGUUUUUAUGAUCGUUGCGCAAUUAUUUUUAAAAGAAUAGCAUUGUAUCUUGUUUUGAAAGUUCCUGGU